UUACGACCAUGUCACGUUGAAACAACGGUUUUUUAUGCGAUCAUCGAAGUUAAGCAUCGUCGAGCCUUGUCAAUACUUAGAUGGGUGAUCACUUGGGAAUAUCAGAUAAUGUA